rnacentral:lncRNA from 1 species
GCACGGAGAGCCGCGUGACAUACGGUGCCUGGGGACUGCCUCGGCUGCAAAUGAUGGCUCCUAGAGUUUUUUUGCAAUCUGUUUGUGUUUUGGGUCGUUUGGGCCAUGUUUAUAAAUGGGUACUUAGGUUUAGGUCUGCUUUUGUUGGGUCUUAGUUUCUAGUGGUUUGGGCCGAGCAAAUUUUGGGCCCUACAGUCAUUAUAACCCUUUCCCUAGUGGACAUUUUUAAUAACAUUCAUUCUU